ACGAAAGGCGUAAACUUGAUUCAUAGUGUAUUUGUCAAAUGUUUAUAGCAAAUACCUUCUAAUAAACGAUCCGACGACUGUCGGUCUCUCUUGUGAUCCUGACAUCGAACGAACAACACGUAUCUCUACGAAGCUCCGAAACUUACAAGUAGCUCUUACUUAACUCUUUCACCGUUACGAUAAGUCUGCCCGCGAGUGUCCGCCUGCUAAAUCUUAAUCACCCUUUUUAAUCAAGUUAACGGCAUAUAAUACCCGAGGUCAUCAAAACUGUUAGCAAAGCCAUAUAUUUGCUUGAGGAAUGUUAUCAAACUGGAAUUCACAGUUUUACCUACAGCAAAUUUUUCCUGUCGUUUCAAUUAUGAUUUCCGCAUUCAAGAUCUUACCCAAGUCCGUAAGCUGCAAGACCCAGAAAUCAAAGAAAGAUCCCCAACACUCUCUCCGAAUACUUCCAUCAGAUGAAGAUCAGCAGUUCAUAACGAAAAAUGAUGACAUUUCAAUAGAAUAAUAAACAAUAAAAACGAUAUAUUCAUAUCGUUGAGUAAUAAAAUAACUUGUUGAGCAGUUUUCAAAAAUGAUGAUAUUUUUAAAGAAUAAUAAAUUCACUAGAGCUAAAUAUUUUAGCCAAUGUACAAAAAAAAACUCCUUCUAAAAGUUCAUCGAAGUAUUAGAUUUUGGUAUACUUUCGAAUUUUAAAUAAAAAGAUGUAUGAGAUUCAAAAGUAAGACUAAAUAAAAUUUCUCAUUUUUUAUUCAACAACAGUUAUUGAUGCAGAUUAUUCAAAAGAAUACGUUAUCCUACCAACUUUGCAAAACGUUGAAAACAAUAAUCAAUUUUAUCAAAUGAUCUUUCAAUAAACUAUUUGAAAAUAAGCUAUCAUCCAAGUUUCCGUUCAACUAAACGUCAUUCGAUGAAAAUAAAUGUUGCACAGCAAUUCUACCAAAUGUCCAUUCGACCGAAUGUCCUUUCGACCAAAUGUACUUUCGACUAAAUGUCAUUCGACCAAACGUCAUUCGACCAAAUGUCAUUCGACGAAAUGUCCUAAAGCCGGUUUAAGUAAUCCUUAUUAAGUAAAUAGCGAAAUGUUGGUGCUUGAAACAAAAUCAUGUUCCGCAGUGUUAUGAAAUUUAAAUUUCUAAAUUCAGUAACAAUUAAAUU